UACGAAGGGGGCUAGCGUUGUUCGGAAUUACUGGGCGUAAAGCGCACGUAGGCGGAUCGAUCAGUCAGGGGUGAAAUCCCAGAGCUCAACUCUGGAACUGCCUUUGAUACUGUCGGUCUAGAGUAUGGAAGAGGUGAGUGGAAUUCCGAGUGUAGAGGUGAAAUUCGUAGAUAUUCGGAGGAACACCAGUGGCGAAGGCGGCUCACUGGUCCAUUACUGACGCUGAGGCACGAAAGCGUGGGGAGCAAACAGG
rnacentral:rRNA from 1 species